rnacentral:rRNA from 1 species
GACGAACGCUGGCGGCGUGCUUAACACAUGCAAGUCGAACGAAGAGCGACGGAAGCUUGCUUCUAUCAAUCUUAGUGGCGAACGGGUGAGUAACGCGUAAUCAACCUGCCCUUCAGAGGGGGACGACAGUUGGAAACGACUGCUAAUACCGCAUACGAUCUAAUCUCGGCAUCGAGGAUAGAUGAAAGGUGGCCUCUACAUGUAAGCUAUCGCUGAAGGAGGGGAUUGCGUCUGAUUAGCUAGUUGGAGGGGUAACGGCCCACCAAGGCGAUGAUCAGUAGCCGGUCUGAGAGGAUGAACGGCCACAUUGGGACUGAGACACGGCCCAGACUCCUACGGGAGGCAGCAGUGGGGAAUCUUCCGCAAUGGACGAAAGUCUGACGGAGCAACGCCGCGUGAGUGAUGACGGCCUUCGGGUUGUAAAGCUCUGUUAAUCGGGACGAAAGGCCUUCUUGCGAAUAGUGAGAAGGAUUGACGGUACCGGAAUAGAAAGCCACGGCUAACUACGUG